rnacentral:rRNA from 1 species
UAGGGAAUAUUGGGCAAUGGACGAGAGUCUGACCCAGCCAUGCCGCGUGCAGGAAGAAGGCUUUCUGAGUCGUAAACUGCUUUUGACAGGGAAGAAUAAGCACUACGUGUAGUGUGAUGACGGUACCUGCAGAAUAAGCACCGGCUAACUCCGUGCCAGCAGCCGCGGUAAUACGGAGGGUGCGAGCGUUGUCCGGAUUUAUUGGGUUUAAAGGGUGCGUAGGCGGCCUUAUAAGUCCGGGGUGAAAGCCCGUUGCUCAACAACGGAACUGCCCUGGAUACUGUGAGGCUUGAGUACAGACGAGGUUGGCGGAAUGGACCGAGUAGCGGUG